rnacentral:misc_RNA from 1 species
AGCAAGCACACCACUAUAGAGCAGGUCACUUACGCGUUCGAAACAGCACGCACAUACAUACAGGCCGCACAUACGGGUGCUAACUCUUCCAACUGGUGCAUGUGUAUCGCUGCUGGUGCCUCCUUGGGCAUCCUCCUCCCCGCUACAUUGCGCUUUCCUGUUGUUGUAGACUCCACCUUUUGCGUAGAAUCACGCGUAGAACUGCCCACCUCCCUUCCACUUUCCCUGCAUCGCCCUCUGCGCAUACACGCGCACACUCGUACGUGUCGCGAGAGGGUGUGAAGAAAUCCACACCGAAAAGAGGUUAUGCCGCAUGUGUUGUCGGCGAGUCGCACCGGCAGAGGCCCAUCGUCCGCCAGCUCCUCCUCCACAGACCCUCCGGAGGGCACCUCCACGGAGCUGUACCUCCCGGUGGGGCGGCAAUCAGCUGCCGCCGACGCUGCGACUGCGAUGCCACGCGCGGCGGAGAGUCACGAGCUGCACCACGGCCGAGCACACUCCUACGCCUCGGAGCCAGAUGAGCACGAGGGCGCGGACGCUCUCAUGCCCGCGCCGACACACGUGCAAAACCAAGCGGCAUCCCCUCCUGCUCUGAGGCGUCGUGAGCAGCAGCAUGCGGUACUCUUCCCUUCCCGUCCGUCGAGCCCUGGGAGCAG